UACGGAGGGGGCUAGCGUUGUUCGGAAUUACUGGGCGUAAAGCGCACGUAGGCGGCUUUGUAAGUUAGAGGUGAAAGCCCAGGGCUUAACCCUGGAAUUGCCUUUAAGACUGCAUCGCUAGAAUCGUGGAGAGGUGAGUGGAAUUCCGAGUGUAGAGGUGAAAUUCGUAGAUAUUCGGAAGAACACCAGUGACGAAGGCGACUCACUGGACACGUAUUGACGCUGAGGUGCGAAAGCGUGGGGAGCAAACAGG
rnacentral:rRNA from 1 species